rnacentral:rRNA from 1 species
CCUACGGAUGGCAGCAGUGAGGAAUAUUGGUCAAUGGACGAGAGUCUGAACCAGCCAAGUAGCGUGAAGGAUGACUGCCCUAUGGGUUGUAAACUUCUUUUAUAUGGGAAUAAAAUGUUCCACGUGUGGGAUUUUGUAUGUACCAUAUGAAUAAGGAUCGGCUAACUCCGUGCCAGCAGCCGCGGUAAUACGGAGGAUCCGAGCGUUAUCCGGAUUUAUUGGGUUUAAAGGGAGCGUAGGUGGAUUGUUAAGUCAGUUGUGAAAGUUUGCGGCUCAACCGUAAAAUUGCAGUUGAAACUGGCAUACUUCAGUACAUGAGAGGAGAGCGGAAUUGGUGGGGUAGCGGUGAAAUGCUUAGAUCUCUCGAAGAACUCCGAUUGCGAAGGCGGCUCACUGGACUGCAACUGACACUGAGGCUCGAAAGUGUGGGUAUCAAACAGGAUUAGAUACCCGUGUAGUC